ACUGCUCAGUAACACGUAGUCAACAUGCCCAGGGGACGUGGAUAACCUCGGGAAACUGAGGAUAAACCACGAUAAGUCACUACUUCUGGAAUGGGUAAUGACUCAAAUCUACAUGGCCCCUGGAUUGGACUGCGGCCGAUCAGGCUGUUGGUGAGGUAAUGGCCCACCAAACCUGUAACCGGUACGGGCUCUGAGAGGAGGAGCCCGGAGAUGGGCACUGAGACAAGGGCCCAGGCCCUAUGGGGCGCAGCAGGCGCGAAACCUCUGCAAUAGGCGAAAGCCUGACAGGGUUACUCUGAGUGAUUUCCGUUAAGGAGAUCUUUUGGCACCCCUAAAAAUGGUGCAGAAUAAGGGGUGGGCAAGUCUGGUGUCAGCCGCCGCGGUAAUACCAGCACCCCGAGUGGUCGGGACGUUUAUUGGGCCUAAAGCAUCCGUAGCCGGUUCUACAAGUCUUCCGUUAAAUCCACCUGCUUAACAGAUGGGCUGCGGAAGAUACUAUAGAGCUAGGAGGCGGGAGAGGCAAGCGGUACUCGAUGGGUAGGGGUAAAAUCCGUUGAUCCAUUGAAGACCACCAGUGGCGAAGGCGGCUUGCCAGAACGCGCUCGACGGUGAGGGAUGAAAGCUGGGGGAGCAAACCGGAUUAGAUACCCGGGUAGUCCCAGCUGUAAACGAUGCAGACUCGGUGAUGAGUUGGCUUUAUGCCAACUCAGUGCCGCAGGGAAGCCGUUAAGUUUGCCGCCUGGGGAGUAGCGGUCGCAAGACUGAAACUUAAAGGAAUUGGCGGGGGAGCAC
rnacentral:rRNA from 1 species